rnacentral:rRNA from 1 species
AUUGAACGCUGGCGGCAGGCCUAACACAUGCAAGUCGAGCGAGCGGCGCACGGGUGAGUAAUGUCUGGGACACUGCCCGAUGGAGGGGGAUAACUACUGGAAACGGUAGCUAAUACCGCAUACCAUCAGAUGUGCCCAGAUGGGCUUAGCUAGUAGGUGGGGUAAAGGCUCACCUAGGCGAAGAUCCCUAGCUGGUCUGAGAGGAUGACCAGCCACACUGGAACUGAGACACGGUCCAGACUCCUACGGGAGGCAGCAGUGGGGAAUAUUGCACAAUGGGCGCAAGCCUUAUGCAGCCAGGCCGCGUGUGUGAAGAAGGCCUUCGGGUUGUAAAGCACUUUCAGCGAGGAGGCGUUACCCGCAGAAGAAGCACCGGCUAACUCCGUGCCAGCAGCCGCGGUAAUUC